rnacentral:tRNA from 1 species
GAAAGGAUACCUCAGUGGUUGAGUGCAUGCCUAGCAUGUAUGAGGUCCUGGGCUCAAUCCCAGUAAUUCCA